UUGUGUGUUAACUCAACAGACAAUUUAUUUCACAUACAGACGCAUUUAUGCCUACAAAAUCAUAUUAUUCGUGUCCAAAAUUGAAUCAACAGCUCAACCGUAUACUGUGGAUCCGCGGAGACUCACUAAUUACAGCGUCUAACAGAUGAUAGUAGAUCACGGAACUAGCGCGAAACAACGAUUGUCAUAAAGGACCAUUUGUAAACAAGCACUCAGGUUAACCGGUGUUCUUGCCAACUGACGGUAUCAUGAAUCAUCAGACUUGCACUUUCAUCUGGCAGAACUAACAAAUCCAAUAUACACUCACCAACAAUCCGACAGGGUCCACAAGCUAUUUGUGCCUCCAAUAAUAGUUUUGGCAUCAUAUGAUUCAACCAAGGACCUUCCUGAUUUCUUCAACAAGUUGAGCUCUUCUAGAGGGAUCCAUCUGAAUAAGUGUCCAAAGAAGGAAAUUUCAGAAGAUCAUAAUGGCAUAAAAAGAACGAUUGGAAUUAUAAUCAUUAUUUGAUUAGAUAGUUCUCCAGCCAUAUGUAAUGAAAAAGAAUUUAUAUAAGCAUCAGUAAGCUAAUUACCUUAUCUAGUAACAUGGAAAGACCCUGUGGCAGGGCUUGCAAAUCUGAGCUGGAAUCUGAAAGACUUGAGAGGGAUUGGGAUACUCUUUGAGCCUUAAGAUAUUGAAUAUAAUCCUUGUAGUUUUCAGGGUUAUCCAUCCAAGCAACAAAAGCA
rnacentral:sRNA from 1 species